rnacentral:antisense_RNA from 1 species
GGGAAAUGUAGGGGAGCAGCCGGACUGAGCUGCCCAAGGGGGUCGGCGCCCCAGGCUUCUUGGUGGCAUGCUGGGGCGCGGGGAGGGGGCGAUUCUUACCCGAAGGCUGCCGAGCUGCAGGCGGCGGUCGGUCCGGGCGUCUGCUGUAAUCCACUAGGCGCUGCCUGGCUGCGCUCACUCUCGGACGCAGAGACCCGCUCAUGUUGGUGAAGAAGCCGCGCCAGAACCGCGGCCGGCUGCUCUUGGCAGGCGGUGUCGGCGCCGGCGGGGGACUCGGCGCCCAGGGCCCCUUCCAGGCCCUCCCUCGCCGGGCUCCCCACCAGCUCUGGAGCUGGCGGCGAUGCGGACCGAGUGAGCGGCGGUAGGGCCAGGUCGGGCGCCGGGCGGGAGCCGAGGCCGCGGCGGACUCCGCAAUCCCGCAGCCGGCGACUGGAGCCCACCUCUGCAGAGACAAAGGAACUGCUCUGGUGAACUCCCCCUGAAAGUAAAUGUCCUUGGCUGGCCUCCAGCAUUCCCCUCACAGGCAUGGCCAUGCAGCCUUCAGAACCUUCCUGAAAGAGAUGCCCAAGGAUUCAGCAAACACGGGGGAAGCAGAGGACACAACAAGCUUGGAUGUGAAAUAGCACUUCCUUCUGUAUUACAGAAUAAAACAAUAUUUUAAAUUACACAAGCAGAUGGGGCAAGUUUUUGGGCCCUCACAAGCCCAGAAGACUUCACACUGGUAUACUGGUGUAUACAUGUGGAAUUGAGCAAAGAACUUGUUUAAUUCCAAAAUUUUCUGAGAAAUAAUCUCAAUAGUCAAUUUGCCUCAUUAUCUUCUCCCCAUCUUACCCAAAUAAAAGCAGAGCUUUAUGACCCUCCCUUUCAACUUGGGGAAUGAGGGCCGCAGAGACUUUGCACUGA